rnacentral:rRNA from 1 species
UACGGAGGGUGCAAGCGUUGUCCGGAAUCACUGGGUGUAAAGGGUGUGUAGGCGGGCCCGUAAGUCAGAUGUGAAAGGCCACGGCUUAACCGUGGAACUGCCUCUGAUACUGUGGGUCUUGAGUCUCGGAGAGGUCGCUGGAAUUCGUGGUGUAGCGGUGAAAUGCGUAGAUAUCACGAGGAACACCAGAGGCGUAGGCGGGCGACUGGACGACGACUGACGCUGAGGCACGAAAGCGUGGGGAGCAAACAGG